rnacentral:ncRNA from 1 species
CAUGUGGUUUAAUUCGAUGCAAAGCGAAGAACCUUACCAAGGCUUGACAUGCCGCGAAUCCUCUUGAAAAAGAGGAGUGCCUUCGGGAACACUUGUAGGAAUGACAUAAUGCUAAUCCGUGUUCCACACACACG